rnacentral:snRNA from 1 species
ACUCAUACCUUGCAGGGAAAAUGCCAUGUCAUAAAAGUGGUUUUCCCAGGGUAAAGCUCAUCCAUUGCACUUUGGGUGUGCUUAUCUCAAUGAUUUCCCCAAUUGUGGGGAAUUUAAUUGCAUAGUUUGUAUUAAUGGGGGAUUGUGUUUGUGAUUUUCCUGGUGGUCUUACAAUCUCUUC